rnacentral:rRNA from 1 species
UCUCCUAAGGCUAAAUACUCUCUAGUGACCGAUAGUGAACCAGUACCGUGAGGGAAAGGUGAAAAGUACCCCGGAAGGGGAGUGAAAGAGAACUUGAAACCGUGUGCUUACAAGUAGUCAGAGCCCGUUAAUGGGUGAUGGCGUGCCUUUUGUAGAAUGAACCGGCGAGUUACGAUCUGAUGCAAGGUUAAGCAGAAAAUGUGGAGCCGUAGCGAAAGCGAGUCUGAAUAGGGCGAAUGAGUAUUUGGUCGUAGACCCGAAACCAGGUGAUCUACCCUUGGUCAGGUUGAAGUUCAGGUAACACUGAAUGGAGGACCGAACCGACUUACGUUGAAAAGUGAGCGGAUGAACUGAGGGUAGCGGAGAAAUUCCAAUCGAACUUGGAGAUAGCUGGUUCUCUCCGAAAUAGCUUUAGGGCUAGCCUCAAGUGAUGAUUAUUGGAGGUAGAGCACUGUUUGGACGAGGGGCCCCUCUCGGGUUACCGAAUUCAGACAAACUCCGAAUGCCAAAUAAUUUAACUUGGGAGUCAGAAUGUGGGUGAUAAGGUCCAUAUUCGAAAGGGAAACAGCCCAGACCACCAGCUAAGGUCCCAAAAUAUAUGUUAAGUGGAAAAGGAUGUGGCGUUGCCCAGACAACUAGGAUGUUGGCUUAGAAGCAGCCAUCAUUUAAAGAGUGCGUAAUAGCUCACUAGUCGAGUGACACUGCGCCGAAAAUGUACCGGGGCUAAACAUAUUACCGAAGCUGUGGAUUGUCCUUUGGACAAUGGUAGGAGAGCGUUCUAAGGGCGUUGAAGCAUGAUCGCAAGGACAUGUGGAGCGCUUAGAAGUGAGAAUGCCGGUGUGAGUAGCGAAAGACGGGUGAGAAUCCCGUCCACCGAUUGACUAAGGUUUCCAGAGGAAGGCUCGUCCGCUCUGGGUUAGUCGGGUCCUAAGCUGAGGCCGACAGGCGUAGGCGAUGGAUAACAGGUUGAUAUUCCUGUACCACCAUUAUUCGUUUUAAGCGAUGGGGGGACGCAGUAGGAUAGGCGAAGCGUGCUGUUGGAGUGCACGUCCAAGCAGUGAGAUUGAGUGUUAGGCAAAUCCGGCACUCUUAAGAUUGAGCUGUGAUGGGGAGAGGAACUUGUUCCUCGAGUCGUUGAUUUCACACUGCCGAGAAAAGCCUCUAGCUAGAAUAACGGUGCCCGUACCGCAAACCGACACAGGUAGUCAAGAUGAGAAUUCUAAGGUGAGCGAGCGAACUCUCGUUAAGGAACUCGGCAAAAUGACCCCGUAACUUCGGGAGAAGGGGUGCUCUUUGAGGUUCACGCUUCGAAGAGCCGCAGUGAAUAGGCCCAAGCGACUGUUUAUCAAAAACACAGGUCUCUGCUAAACCGUAAGGUGACGUAUAGGGGCUGACGCCUGCCCGGUGCUGGAAGGUUAAGAGGAGUGGUUAGCGCAAGCGAAGCUACGAAUCGAAGCCCCAGUAAACGGCGGCCGUAACUAUAACGGUCCUAAGGUAGCGAAAUUCCUUGUCGGGUAAGUUCCGACCCGCACGAAAGGCGUAACGAUUUGGGCACUGUCUCAACGAGAGACUCGGUGAAAUCAUAGUACCGGUGAAGAUGCCGGUUACCCGCGACAGGACGGAAAGACCCCGUGGAGCUUUACUGUAGCCUGAUAUUGAAAUUCGGUACAGUUUGUACAGGAUAGGUAGGAGCCUUAGAAGCGUGAGCGCUAGCUUACGUGGAGGCAUUGGUGGGAUACUACCCUAAUUGUAUUGGAUUUCUAACCCGCAGCACUUAUCGUGCUGGGAGACAGUGUCAGGCGGGCAGUUUGACUGGGGCGGUCGCCUCCUAAAGAGUAACGGAGGCGCUCAAAGGUUCCCUCAGAAUGGUUGGAAAUCAUUCAUAGAGUGUAAAGGCAUAAGGGAGCUUGACUGCGAGACCUACAAGUCGAGCAGGGUCGAAAGACGGACUUAGUGAUCCGGUGGUUCCGCAUGGAAGGGCCAUCGCUCAACGGAUAAAAGCUACCCCGGGGAUAACAGGCUUAUCUCCCCCAAGAGUUCACAUCGACGGGGAGGUUUGGCACCUCGAUGUCGGCUCAUCGCAUCCUGGGGCUGUAGUCGGUCCCAAGGGUUGGGCUGUUCGCCCAUUAAAGCGGUACGCGAGCUGGGUUCAGAACGUCGUGAGACAGUUCGGUCCCUAUCCGUCGUGGGCGUAGGAAAUUUGAGAGGAGCUGUCCUUAGUACGAGAGGACCGGGAUGGACAUACCUCUGGUGUACCAGUUGUCGUGCCAACGGCAUAGCUGGGUAGCUAUGUAUGGACGGGAUAAGUGCUGAAAGCAUCUAAGCAUGAAGCCCCCCU